CUAGCGGCAGGCCUAACACAUGCAAGUCGAACGGUAAGGUCUCUUCGGAGAUACACGAGUGGCGCACGGGUGAGUAACGCGUAUGCAACCUACCUUUUACAGGGGGAUAGCCCGAAGAAAUUCGGAUUAAUACCCCAUAGUUCAUUAUCACCGCAUGGUGGGAAUGAUAAAGUUUUGGCGGUAAAAGAUGGGCAUGCGUGACAUUAGAUAGUUGGUGAGGUAACGGCUCACCAAGUCAGCGAUGUCUAGGGGGUCUGAGAGGAUGGUCCCCCACACUGGUACUGAGACACGGACCAGACUCCUACGGGAGGCAGCAGUGAGGAAUAUUGGGCAAUGGACGCAAGUCUGACCCAGCCAUGCCGCGUGCAGGAUGACGGCCCUAUGGGUUGUAAACUGCUUUUUUACGGGAAGAAUAGGCACUACGUGUAGUGAUUUGACGGUACCGUACGAAUAAGCACCGGCUAACUCCGUGCCAGCAGCCGCGGUAAUACGGAGGGUGCAGGCGUUAUCCGGAUUUAUUGGGUUUAAAGGGUGCGUAGGCGGGCUAAUAAGUCAGUGGUGAAAUCUCAUGGCUCAACCAUGAAAUUGCCAUUGAAACUGUUAGUCUUGAGUAUAGUUGAGGUAGGCGGAAUGUGUCAUGUAGCGGUGAAAUGCUUAGAUAUGACCCAGAACUCCGAUUGCGUAGGCAGCUUACUAAACUAUUACUGACGCUGAUGCACGAAAGCGUGGGUAGCGAACAGGAUUAGAUACCCUGGUAGUCCACGCCGUAAACGAUGAUUACUCGCUGUGUGCGAUAUAUUGUACGCGGCUGAGCGAAAGCAUUAAGUAAUCCACCUGGGGAGUACGGUCGCAAGAUUGAAACUCAAAGGAAUUGACGGGGGCCCGCACAAGCGGAGGAACAUGUGGUUUAAUUCGAUGAUACGCGAGGAACCUUACCUGGGCUUAAAUGUAGAGUGCUUUUCACCGAAAGGUGAUUUUCCUUCGGGACGCUUUACAAGGUGCUGCAUGGUUGUCGUCAGCUCGUGCCGUGAGGUGUCGGGUUAAGUCCCAUAACGAGCGCAACCCCUAUCGUUAGUUGCCAUCGGGUCAUGCCGGGGACUCUAACGAGACUGCCAGUGUAAACUGUGAGGAAGGUGGGGAUGACGUCAAAUCAGCACGGCCCUUAUGCCCAGGGCUACACACGUGUUACAAUGGCCGGUACAGAGGGUAGCUACUACGUGAGUAGAUGCCAAUCCCCAAAGCCGGUCUCAGUUCGGAUCGGAGUCUGCAACUCGACUCCGUGAAGUUGGAUUCGCUAGUAAUCGUAUAUCAGCAAUGAUACGGUGAAUACGUUCCCGGGCCUUGUACACACCGCCCGUCAAGCCAUGGAAGCUGGGGGUACCUGAAGUCUGUAACCGUAAGGAGCGGCCUAG
rnacentral:rRNA from 1 species